rnacentral:rRNA from 1 species
AAUGAACGCUGGCGGCAGGCCUAACACAUGCAAGUCGAACGAGUGGCGGACGGGUGAGUAAUGUCGGGGAAACUGCCUGAUGGAGGGGGAUAACUACGGGAAAAGGUAGCAAAUACCGCAUACCAUCGGAUGUGCACAGAUUGGAUUAGCUAGUGGGUGGGGUAAAGGCUCACCUAGGCGACGAUCCCUAGCUGGUCUGAGAGGAUGACCGGCCACACUGGAACUGAGACACGGUCCAGACUCCUACGGGAGGCAGCAGUGGGGAAUAUUGCACAAUGGGCGCAAGCCUGAUGCAGCCAUGCCGCGUGUAUGAAGAAGGCCUUCGGGUUGUAAAGUACUUUCAGCGGGGAGGCGUUACCCGCAGAGGAAGCACCGGCUAACUCCGUGCCAGCAGCCGCGGUAAUAC